rnacentral:rRNA from 1 species
GACGAACGCUGGCGGCGUGCUUAACACAUGCAAGUCGAACGGUAAGGCCCUUCGGGGUACACGAGUGGCGAACGGGUGAGUAACACGUGGGUGAUCUGCCCUGCACUUCGGGAUAAGCCUGGGAAACUGGGUCUAAUACCGGAUAGGACUCCUGGCUUCAUGGUUGGGGGUGGAAAGCUUUUGCGGUGUGGGAUGGGCCCGCGGCCUAUCAGCUUGUUGGUGGGGUAAUGGCCUACCAAGGCGACGACGGGUAGCCGGCCUGAGAGGGUGACCGGUCACACUGGGACUGAGAUACGGCCCAGACUCCUACGGGAGGCAGCAGUGGGGAAUAUUACACAAUGGGCGCAAGCCUGAUGCAGCGACGCCGCGUGAGGGAUGACGGCCUUCGGGUUGUAAACCUCUUUCAGCUAUGACGAAGCGCAAGUGACGGUAGUAGCAGAAGAAGGACCGGCCAACUACAUGCCAGCCGCCGCGGUAA